rnacentral:rRNA from 1 species
UACGGAGGGUGCAAGCGUUGCUCGGAAUCACUGGGCGUAAAGCGUCCGCAGGCGGCUUGGUAAGUCGGGUGUGAAAGCCCGGGGCUCAACCCCGGAACUGCAUUCGAAACUGCCUGGCUUGAGUACGGGAGAGGGUGGCGGAAUUCCUGGUGUAGAGGUGAAAUUCGUAGAUAUCAGGAGGAACAUCAGUGGCGAAAGCGGCCACCUGGCCCGAUACUGACGCUCAUGGACGAAAGCGUGGGGAGCAAACAGG